rnacentral:rRNA from 1 species
GGGUUGUGAGGUUAAGCGACUAAGCGUACACGGUGGAUGCCCUGGCAGUCAGAGGCGAUGAAGGACGUGCUAAUCUGCGAUAAGCGUCGGUAAGGUGAUAUGAACCGUUAUAACCGGCGAUUUCCGAAUGGGGAAACCCAGUGUGUUUCGACACACUAUCAUUAACUGAAUCCAUAGGUUAAUGAGGCGAACCGGGGGAACUGAAACAUCUAAGUACCCCGAGGAAAAGAAAUCAACCGAGAUUCCCCCAGUAGCGGCGAGCGAACGGGGAGCAGCCCAGAGCCUGAAUCAGUGUGUGUGUUAGUGGAAGCGUCUGGAAAGGCGCGCGAUACAGGGUGACAGCCCCGUACACAAAAAUGCACAUGCUGUGAGCUCGAUGAGUAGGGCGGGACACGUGGUAUCCUGUCUGAAUAUGGGGGGACCAUCCUCCAAGGCUAAAUACUCCUGACUGACCGAUAGUGAACCAGUACCGUGAGGGAAAGGCGAAAAGAACCCCGGCGAGGGGAGUGAAAAAGAACCUGAAACCGUGUACGUACAAGCAGUGGGAGCACGCUUAGGCGUGUGACUGCGUACCUUUUGUAUAAUGGGUCAGCGACUUAUAUUCUGUAGCAAGGUUAACCGAAUAGGGGAGCCGAAGGGAAACCGAGUCUUAACUGGGCGUUAAGUUGCAGGGUAUAGACCCGAAACCCGGUGAUCUAGCCAUGGGCAGGUUGAAGGUUGGGUAACACUAACUGGAGGACCGAACCGACUAAUGUUGAAAAAUUAGCGGAUGACUUGUGGCUGGGGGUGAAAGGCCAAUCAAACCGGGAGAUAGCUGGUUCUCCCCGAAAGCUAUUUAGGUAGCGCCUCGUGAAUUCAUCUCCGGGGGUAGAGCACUGUUUCGGCAAGGGGGUCAUCCCGACUUACCAACCCGAUGCAAACUGCGAAUACCGGAGAAUGUUAUCACGGGAGACACACGGCGGGUGCUAACGUCCGUCGUGAAGAGGGAAACAACCCAGACCGCCAGCUAAGGUCCCAAAGUCAUGGUUAAGUGGGAAACGAUGUGGGAAGGCCCAGACAGCCAGGAUGUUGGCUUAGAAGCAGCCAUCAUUUAAAGAAAGCGUAAUAGCUCACUGGUCGAGUCGGCCUGCGCGGAAGAUGUAACGGGGCUAAACCAUGCACCGAAGCUGCGGCAGCGACGCUUAUGCGUUGUUGGGUAGGGGAGCGUUCUGUAAGCCUGUGAAGGUGUACUGUGAGGUAUGCUGGAGGUAUCAGAAGUGCGAAUGCUGACAUAAGUAACGAUAAAGCGGGUGAAAAGCCCGCUCGCCGGAAGACCAAGGGUUCCUGUCCAACGUUAAUCGGGGCAGGGUGAGUCGACCCCUAAGGCGAGGCCGAAAGGCGUAGUCGAUGGGAAACAGGUUAAUAUUCCUGUACUUGGUGUUACUGCGAAGGGGGGACGGAGAAGGCUAUGUUGGCCGGGCGACGGUUGUCCCGGUUUAAGCGUGUAGGCUGGUUUUCCAGGCAAAUCCGGAAAAUCAAGGCUGAGGCGUGAUGACGAGGCACUACGGUGCUGAAGCAACAAAUGCCCUGCUUCCAGGAAAAGCCUCUAAGCAUCAGGUAACAUCAAAUCGUACCCCAAACCGACACAGGUGGUCAGGUAGAGAAUACCAAGGCGCUUGAGAGAACUCGGGUGAAGGAACUAGGCAAAAUGGUGCCGUAACUUCGGGAGAAGGCACGCUGAUAUGUAAGUGAAGCGACUUGCUCGUGGAGCUGAAAUCAGUCGAAGAUACCAGCUGGCUGCAACUGUUUAUUAAAAACACAGCACUGUGCAAACACGAAAGUGGACGUAUACGGUGUGACGCCUGCCCGGUGCCGGAAGGUUAAUUGAUGGGGUUAGCGCAAGCGAAGCUCUUGAUCGAAGCCCCGGUAAACGGCGGCCGUAACUAUAACGGUCCUAAGGUAGCGAAAUUCCUUGUCGGGUAAGUUCCGACCUGCACGAAUGGCGUAAUGAUGGCCAGGCUGUCUCCACCCGAGACUCAGUGAAAUUGAACUCGCUGUGAAGAUGCAGUGUACCCGCGGCAAGACGGAAAGACCCCGUGAACCUUUACUAUAGCUUGACACUGAACAUUGAGCCUUGAUGUGUAGGAUAGGUGGGAGGCUUUGAAGUGUGGACGCCAGUCUGCAUGGAGCCGACCUUGAAAUACCACCCUUUAAUGUUUGAUGUUCUAACGUUGACCCGUAAUCCGGGUUGCGGACAGUGUCUGGUGGGUAGUUUGACUGGGGCGGUCUCCUCCUAAAGAGUAACGGAGGAGCACGAAGGUUGGCUAAUCCUGGUCGGACAUCAGGAGGUUAGUGCAAUGGCAUAAGCCAGCUUGACUGCGAGCGUGACGGCGCGAGCAGGUGCGAAAGCAGGUCAUAGUGAUCCGGUGGUUCUGAAUGGAAGGGCCAUCGCUCAACGGAUAAAAGGUACUCCGGGGAUAACAGGCUGAUACCGCCCAAGAGUUCAUAUCGACGGCGGUGUUUGGCACCUCGAUGUCGGCUCAUCACAUCCUGGGGCUGAAGUAGGUCCCAAGGGUAUGGCUGUUCGCCAUUUAAAGUGGUACGCGAGCUGGGUUUAGAACGUCGUGAGACAGUUCGGUCCCUAUCUGCCGUGGGCGCUGGAGAACUGAGGGGGGCUGCUCCUAGUACGAGAGGACCGGAGUGGACGCAUCACUGGUGUUCGGGUUGUCAUGCCAAUGGCACUGCCCGGUAGCUAAAUGCGGAAGAGAUAAGUGCUGAAAGCAUCUAAGCACGAAACUUGCCCCGAGAUGAGUUCUCCCUGACUCCUUGAGAGUCCUGAAGGAACGUUGAAGACGACGACGUUGAUAGGCCGGGUGUGUAAGCGCAGCGAUGCGUUGAGCUAACCGGUACUAAUGAACCGUGAGGCUUAACCUUACAACGCCGAAG